rnacentral:misc_RNA from 1 species
GAAAUGCGAUAAUUAAUGUGAAUUGCAGAAUUCAGCGAAUCAUCGAGUCUUUGAACGCACAUUGCGCCCCCUGGUAUUCCGGGGGGCAUGCCUGUCCGAGCGUCAUUGCUGCCCUCAAGCACGGCUUGUGUGUUGGGCUUCCGUCCCUGGCAACGGGGACGGGCCCAAAAGGCAGUGGCGGCACCAUGUCUGGUCCUCGAGCGUAUGGGGCUUUGUCACCCGCUCCCGUAGGUCCAGCUGGCAGCUAGCCUCGCAACCAAUCUUUUUAACCAGGUUGACCUCGGAUCAGGUAGGGAUACCCGCUGAACUUAAGC